CCCCUGCACGUACCUGCUUUGCAAACCGGGGCGCUUGGGCUCCUUCUCUCCGGGGAGCUUCGGCUCUGCUCCGGGGACCUCCUCCGGUGCCGGACGCGAGCUGGGGGUGGGGCCGCGCUCACCUCGCCUGUCCACAGGAGAGGCCCCAAGCCCUUAACCCAGGACCUUGCUUAAGCUGGCUAGCACUGACAUCACUACUCAUCGCCAUAACCUGGAAUGAAGACAAACACAGGACACACAGGAAACUGCCAACAAAUUCCAUGCAGAGAGCUAAGUCCACUCUUACAACAAUGGGUUGAAUUGUGACUGUAUGAAGUUGAAGAAGCAACAUACUGGAAUUGGUUUAUCUGUAUUUAAACUCCAGAAGGCAAAAUUAUUGAUAAGCUCAUUUUGUACCUGUGCUUUUUAAACUAUUUAAAAUGAUCUUGUUAUGGUAGAGGAGGGUGGGUUUUGAGAAAAAGUUUAUCAUCCUGUAGUUUUUUUUUCUUCCUAUAGUUUUAGUAGAAUCAACCAUAUUCUGUUAUAAAUCUCCAAAAUGUCAUUGAAUGGAACAUUAUACAGCCACUAAAAUUAUCAUUAUGAAGUCAUAAGUUCCUUUCAUUUUAAAAUGGAAAAAAAAUAAAAAUGAUGCAUUCAUUGUAACUACAAAAAUAUAAAAACGUUUAUGCAUUAUAAAUGAAUAUUAGAGGUUAAAAUAGUGAUAUGAAAAUAAAAUAGCCUUUUUAAGGUGGAAGUUAGGGAGGUAUCUUUUACCCCAAGAAAUAUUGAUAUCCAGUUUUCUAAUAAAAGGGGAGAAUUACCAGAACUUAAAUUGUUGAGUGAUGUUCUCUGCUUAAAAUCUGACUGCUAAUUCACUGAGACAUUUGUCUUAGACCAUUUCCUCAAGGCCAUCCGUAGCACCACAUGUUCUGGUGUUUCUCUUACCUCUCUGACUACUCCUGGCUUCACUUUGCUGGCUUCUUCUCAGUCUGAUGCUUAAAUGGUGAGAGGUCCUCAGGACACCAUCCUAAACCUUUCAUUCCACUCACUCCCUAGACAGAGAGCUUCAUUUGUAUGCAGAAUCCCACUGACUACCACGCUGCCAUCUAUUCAACUGCCUGCUUUGCCUCUCAUCUUGUAUAUCUCACAGGUGCUUUGAAUCUUGUCCGUAACUGAAUUCAUCAUCUUCCCACCACUCACCCACCACCACCAACUGGCUCCUUUUCCAGUUUUCUCUUAUUUCAAUAAAAGGUGCCGCUCAGUGGUCUGUAUUGAAACCCUGAAAGUCAUUUUAGCUCUCCCACUCCCCUAAGGCAAGACCAAUGACUCACCGUAUCUUAACUGCUCUAGCUUCUAAAUCUCUUAUGAAUCACCACUAUUCUCCAAAUUCACCAUCUCCUCUAAGCAUGCCUCUAUCCUCUCCGGCCUACGCUCUUACACAGGCCUAGCCAAUCUCCCUAGAUCCUCUCUGCCCUGGCCUACUUCUCCAAGCACUCUCCACUUCUCACCUGUAAUCCAUUCCCCACACAUCUGUAGUGGUCUUUUAAAAAUGAACUUGAUCACCUCACUCUGCUGCCUAAAGCUUUCCUUUCCUUAGGAUGAAGCUCCCAGCCCUGAGGCUUACCACAUAUUUCCACGGGCACGUCUCUUCCUCUCUAGCUCCAGUCACACUGGUCUUCUUUGAUCUCCCCAAAAUGCUCCAUACUCUCAUCCUGAGCCUUCACGGUUGUGAUUUCCUCUGCCUGGAACAUUCCUCAUUCCUGUCACUUGGCCAACUCCCGACUCAUUUUUAGAUCAGGGAGGCAUGAAUGGACUUGCUCGCCACUUAAAUUAGCCUCUUCGAGUUUACAGAAGUACCAUGCUCCCCUGCUGUGGUCAUCAUAACAUGAUUAUCUAUUCACUAUCUGUAUAUCCUUCUCAAUGUUAAGCUCUACAAGUUUGUUCACUUAUCAAGUAUUCAUUGGCAGCCUUCUAUGCACAGAGCACUGUGCAGGGCAUUAGCUCUACAGCAAUGAGCAAAGCUCCAGUUCCUUGUGCUCUUGGUCUUAUAUCUGCUGGAAACAGAUGAUGAGCAACUCAGGUGUGAGUCCAUACACACAGAACUACACACGUGAAUAAACUGCCAAUUGCAAAGUUCUAUAAAGGAAGCCAUAGUGCCAUGAAAAGGAACAACAGUGGAGAUCCAGCUAAGACAGAUGCGAAAGACUUUCUGAAAAGGUAAUGUUUAAGAUGAGACCUAAAAGCUAAGAAUGUGCCAUCCAUUAGGCCCUGGUAAGAGAUUUUGAAUAAAGCUGAGCCCACGCAUAGCCAGUCUCAUCAAAAGAAACAACAGAUACUAAAAAUAAAAAUAAUAAAAAUCUAAUAUUGAUAGAAGUUUAUGAAUUAAGCACAAAAGGGAAACUUAUGUGCAUGAGUCUCAGUAAAUAUACUUUUAAAAAAUCUUAAUCUAUCCAUCUCUCUAAGUUCGACUCAUCAUGGCACAACAGCCUUUAAAUAUUACCCCCAAAAUUAGGCCAGACCUGGACCUGGCUCUUCUUUCCUUGGCCUCAUUCUCUCACCUUUAAGUGUGCAUUCUUGCUCCUUGAAUAACUCCCUGCAUUUGCUCAUAUAAGUCUAUCUUUUUGACCUCACCAUUUCUGCAUCUCUACCAAUUUGUCCUCAUCAGUAUAAUAGAAGCUCCAAAGCACAGAGGUGGAAUCUUCCCAGAAAGGAGUGGAACUGAAAGAAUUCUUAUAUCUUCAGUUGUGUUUAUUUGUUUUGUUUGUGUCUGUUAUCAGUACUGUUGCCAUUGCUCUCAUGCCAGGAAUCCACUCUGGCCACUGUAUGGAGAAUGGCUUGUAAGGGAGCAGGAGGAAGCAAGGAAAAUAGUGAGGCACCUUUUGCAAAAAAGUCUGAGCAAGGGGGAUUGCAGAUAAGAAAACAGUGGAUGGAUUCAAGAUCUACCUUUUAGGUAGAAUUAAUUUGUCUUCCAGGUGAUAAGAGGUGAGGGAGAGGAGCUGUCGGGGAUGUCCCCCAGGUGUCUGGCUUGAACACCUUGGUGGAUGGUGGUCUGUUCAUAGAGAUGGGGAGAAGGGGAGGGAGGAACAGCUUUGGGAUCAAAGUCAGUCUAGAUUUGGAUGUAUUAUGUUUGAGUUGCUUGUGAAUUAUUUUAAAAGAGUCAUCGAAAAGGCAGUUGUACAUAUAAGAGCCAAGUUCAGAGACGUCAGGCCAGGAAGUAUACAUUUGAGAGUUUUCAGAUAUAGAUGUUUUUGUGGCUAUGUGAGCAAAUGACACCACCUGAGGAUUAAUCACUACUUCUCAGCCUUAGCACAGUGCCUGGCACACACUAUAUGCUCAAAAACAAUUUAAGCUCCUGUCUGUCUUAUUUACCCUUGUAUGCUCACACUUAGGACAGUGUCUGGCAUAUGGCAGGUACUCAACUGUGUCCUGUGAAUGGAAUGAAUGAUACAGCCACUGUACCAUUCACAGCUACAAAACAGUGAUUACAAACCCAUGUGUCUUAGACCCCAAAGACAAUUUGCUUUCACCAUAGGAUGGUACUCUAGUUCAGUAGAUAAUCUCAAAACCUGUUGAGAAAGAUGAGUACAUGGUAUCCCUAUUAUAGAAAUGAGGAAACCAAAGAGGUUAUAUGGCUUGCCUGAAACUAAAACCCAGGUUGACUCAAAUUCCGGCAUUCUUGCAUCAUAGCAGGGAUGACGUUCAACAGAAUAGCAGGUGUUCUGGAUAUUUUGUACCUACCAAUUAACAUAUGCUGUGAAGAAAGAAAAAAAAAGAAAAACCAAGCAAUUAAAUUUGUAAUUGAGGAGGAUUACCAGUUAAAACAAUCUUCUGCUUUUCUGCCACGCAAGCUGUUUCAUCGAGUCAGCUAAAAUAUCGUACGACCUUUUCCACUUCCCAAAAGUAAGGUACUCUCUCCCUCCUCUCUCUGUUCAUUGACGUUGUGCUGUCAGAGAUAUGGUUCCCAUUAUACCAGCAGUGUUGUAUUUUUCCAAAAGCUCUUUGAUCUGUAUAUUAAAAGAAACAUUAAUGAACAAAGGCAUGAUAUAGAAAACAGUGUACACUGUCAAUAGGGCUUGGCUUUGCUUUUCUCUUCAAGGAUUGUAGUUAUGCAGAUGCUUGUAUGCGCAUGCAUAGAGUAUUUUUGGAAAUUCUCCCAAGAAUCUGGCCUCUGAAAAGAGGAACUGGGAGGGGUCGGGGUAGGAAGGAGAUGUUCUUUUUUAUGUAUACUCUCUGUACUAUUUUUGAAGUUUUUAAAGCAUGUUCAUGUAUUAGUUUUAGCAAAAAAAAUUUUAAUGUAAAAACAUUAAUCUCAGAAACCAUGUUAUUUUGGUGAACACUAAAGUUUGAAAUUAGGAUUUAUAAAUGAUAAUUGCACUCUUAUAUAAGCUUCAGUAUCUAAAAUAUUUCUGUAUUUUGUUUUGAUUGAAUAAUAUUGAGAAAAUCUUGAUCAACAAAGAUAAAUAAUUACAAAUGGUAAUAAUGUUCUUUUAACUGCUCUUCAACUGGACAGAUUCAGAAACUUGAAACAAGAGUAAAGGAAAACGUUUAUUGGAAAAAAUAAUAGUCAAGUGGGGAACAGAUGGAGAUUUGGAAGACACAAGAAUGGCAGAAUAUUCGUAAUUGCUGAAGCUGGGCAGUAACAAAUAACCUAUGUAUUCUGCAGCUCUGCAUAUCAGGGUGAUUUUCAGCGUAAAGCAGGCCACUUGCCACUGACAAACAGAGCAUCCUUUCAGCAGCAGCCAGAAAGCUGAUCUCUUGAUUCUCUGUUCCUGGGCGUGUAGGUAUGUAAGCAGAAGAAGGCAAGGGAUAGGCUGCCAUGACAUGUCUAGGGGGCUUUGCCGAGACAACACAAAGCAGGUAACCCUGCAGUGGGGAGAGGAAUCAGGUUGCAACUAACUCCUUAUCACCUGCUAACGCAGAGUCAGCAACCUGGCAGCUUCCCCUCCCUCUACUUAGAGAAAAUGUUCCCCUUCCAGGCACCUGCUUGGAUCGUUGAUCCUAAGGAGACCUACCCCUCUCUCCCAAUUCCACAAGAAGCAAAGGAAGAAUAGCAUCCAACUCCAGACGAGUGAGAGACAGAGGGGAGGAGGUCCAGACACCUUCAAAAUAACACGCGAAACAGGACCCAAAAGAAGGAGCAGCUGCGUUUCGAUGGCCAUGGAGGUAUGUUAUGCAGAAUGAAAGCUAAACAUAUGGAGUCAUGUACACAGAAGAGGAGGAAACUUGGACACAGACAUAUGAGAAGAAAGACUAUGUAAAGAUACAGGGAGCGGAUGGCCAUCUACAAGCCAAGGAGAGACACCCCAGAAGACACCAAUCCUGCUGAUGUCUUGAUCUUGGAUUUCUAGCCUCCAGAACUGUGAGAAAUAAACUUCUGUUGUCACCAAGUCUGUGGUGCUUUGUUAUGGCAGCCCAAACAAAUAAUAAGGUUGUUUCUAAUUUUUUCCAAUUAGGAACAUCAUCCUUGUAUUCAACUCUCUGGGUACAUGUCCAAUUAUUUUCUUGGGAUACAUUUCUAAACAAGAAUUGCUGGGUCAAAGGGUAAGUAUCUUUUUAGGCUUCUGACAUGGAUUGUCAAAUUGCCCAGCUCAAGGGUGUGGUUUCCCAGUACUCCUAAGGCCAUUAAUCUUCAAAGUGCUAGAGUUUUUCAUUUUUUUUUUCUAAUUAUGUGUUUUUCAAAUUUUCCAUUAGGAAUACAUAUUGCUUUUGUAAUAAUAAAAUAUAUUUAUUUUUAAAAAGGGAAGAGAGAGCCUUAUACAGUAUGAAAAAUUUCCACAUUUGAUUGAAUGAAAAUGAAACUUACAAUGAAACUGUGGUUUGAAGAGAAAAAACUGAAAGCUGAUCAAGAGAAUGAGAAGAAAACCACAGACUGGGAAGAAAUAUUUGCAAAAGACAUAUCUGAUAACUGUUAUCAAAAAUACACAAAGAACUCUUAAAACUCAACAAAAAAAACAAACAACCUGAUUAAAAAAUGAGCAAAAGGCCUGAACAGACAUCUCACCAGAGAAACAUAUGAUGUUCAACAUCAUGUGUCAUUAGGGAAUUAUAAAUUAAAACAGCAAUGAGAUACUAAACGACACUUAUUAGAAUGGUGAAAAUCCAAAACACUGACAAUACCAAAUGCUGGCAAGGAUGUAGAGUAACAGUCAUUGCUGAUGGGAAUGCAAAAUGGUGCAGCCAUUUUGGAAGACAGUUUUUCAAUUUCUUACAAACUAAACAUACUCUUACCGUAUGAUCCAGUGAUUGUGCUCCUUUGUAUUUACCCAAAGGAGUUGGAAACAUGUCUACCUAAAAACCUGCACUUGGAUGUUUAUAGCAGCUUUGUUCAUAAUUGCCAAGGCUUGGAAGCAACCAAGAAGUCAACCAAGGAUAAAUAAACUGUGAUACAUCUAUACAAUGGAAUAUUACUCAGUGUUAGAAAUAAGUGAGCUAUCAAGACAUGAAAAGACAUAGACAAGCUUAAAUGCAUACUACAAAGUGAAUGAAGUCAAUCUGAAAAGGCUACAUGCUGCAUAAUUCUAACUGUAUGACAUUCUUGGAAAAGCAAAACUAUGGAGACAGUUAAAAAAAAAAAAAGAGUGAUUACCAAGGGUUAGGAGAUGGGAGAGAUGAAUAGGCAGAGCCCAGUGGAUUUUUAGGGCAAUGAAACUAUUCUGAAACUAUAAUGCUGGAUACAUGUCAUUAUACAUUGGUCAAAACCCAGGGAAUGUGCAACAAGAAGAGUGAACCCUAAUGGAAACCUAUGGAUUUGGGGUGAUGAUGUGUGAAUGUAGAUUCAUCAAUUUUAACAAAUUUUCCUCUCUGGUGCAGGAUGUCGAUAGUGGGAGAGCUGUGUGUGGCAACAGGGGCAAGAGGUAUUUGGGAAUUCUCUGCAUUUUCCUUUCAAUUUUGCUGAGAACCUAAAACUGCUAUAAAAAUAAAAUCUGUUAAGAACCCAAACAACGAAAAGCUCUUUGAGAGAUGCAUGUUGAAUCAAGUCAUUAUUAGGAAACUUGUCCACUGCCAAACUUCCCAUUUAAGAAAAGGCGCCACCUUUCUCCUCGUUAUACAAACCAGAAACCUGGGUCUUUCUUGCUGACUUCCUUUACCUCAUUCCCCACUUUCACUCACUCCUGCUGAAAACGUAUCUUUUUUUUUUUUUUAACUUUUUUUUUAUUGAAUAAUAGUUAUUUUACUGAAAACAUAUCUUACUAUUUUUCCCGUAACUGUUGCCACCUUUCCUGGACAAGCCAUUAUCUCUCUCCAAGACUAGAUAUAGUCUAACUGUUCUUCUAGCUUCUGUUCUUGCCAGAUUUUAAUCUGUUCACACCGCAGCCAGAGUAAUCACUGGGAAACAUAAAUUUAUGUCAUUUCACUGCUUAACAUUUGAAUGGAUUUUUUUCUGCACUUCGAAUAAAAAACAAACUCUUCAAAGCUGGUCAGGCAUCUGCUUAUCUUCCAACCUCAACUCCCUCUCAUCCCCCUUGUUCAUCAAGCACCAACAUGAGACUCCUUCACCCCAUUGCCUAACAGACGUCUUGUUACUCUCUAUCUCUGGAUCUGUUUGUUUGUUUGUUUGUUUCCUUCACAGCCCUUGAAUUCUAUAAAUUCUUUUUUCUUUAUUUAUUCCCUGUUGACCCCCCAUGGAACUCACCUGAAGUUCCCUGAGAACAGGAGUUCAUCUCUUCUGCCUAA